UGGUUCUCGCAUCGAUGAAGAACGCAGCGAAUUGCGAUACGUAGUAUGACUUGCAGACGUGAAUCAUCGAAUCUUUGAACGCAUAUUGCGCCUUGGGGCAUUCCCCAAGGCAUGCCUGUUUGAGCGUGAUAUCUUCUCACCGUUGGUGGAUUUGUUUCUAAAUAUCAUGCCACAGUGAAGUCUACGCUUUCACUGCUUUUUCCCCUCAAAUCAGGUAGGACUACCCGCUGA
rnacentral:misc_RNA from 1 species